rnacentral:lncRNA from 1 species
CUUUUGGGCUCCAGUAGGCCCAAUUUUUUAUUUAUUUAUUUAUUUAUUUUUUUUUUAAAGCCUGGUUCAAGUCUGCAACCCUGAUAGAAGUCCAAUUUCCCACAGCCCAUGCCCUGUUUACUGACCCGGAAUCAUAAUUCAAUUAACCCAAUUUCAUUCAAUCAAGCUCUUCCUUUCAACUAAAAUCAAAACCAAACCCUUGCUCCCUCACGUGAAUCGCCUCUCUCGACUCUCGCUUCCCUUCUCGCCGACUUCCAGUUCCAAUCCACUGUCCGCCGGCAUCUCCUAGAUUAGAGGCUCAAAUCUCCGGCCCCUGACUCUAGUAUCCUCAAUCCCCCACCGCAACUUUAACCUCCAAGUGUAUGCUGCAGAGAUAAGGGAUUCGACCAGGAACGGAACAAGGGUUUGGCUUGGGACUUUUAACAGUGCAGAAGAACCUGGUCUGGUUUAUGAUCAAGCUGCAUUUGCAAUGCCCGGGGCUUCAGCUCCCCUUAAUUUUCCUUCAGAGAAAGUAAAGAAAUCCCUUAAAAACAUGAAUUACAAGUGCGAAGAUGGUUCGUCACCAGCUGAAGCCAUAAAAGAGAUUCACAGGGCUCGGAGUUCUUUCUCAUCUCCUUUCUGGUUUCUUACUUGAACCCUGGAUCUCAACCCCUUUCCCCUUUUAUCUUCCCUUUUGCUUAAAUCAUUCAUCAAUUUUAAAUCAAUUCCAAUUAAAACUUACUCUCUGUUAAUGACUUGGAACUCCAAGUUAAUUAGUGCUUUGAAUUUGAAAUAUGAAGACUUGUGUUUCAAAUUUCAAUUUCAAUAGAUUUCUGUUUCUUGAUUUUUUAUUUUGAAAAGUUCCAUGUUCCUGAAAACUGAGAAGACCAGAUAAACUUCAAUUUAUCCAAAUUGAAUAAAAAAUUUUAAUUAGUUUUUGUUGGCUAACAAUUUUACAAAAUGAAAAAAUGUGAAAUAAUCUCACAUUCUCAUCAUCCGCAUAAUAAUUUUGUCAUACUUUUUAUAUACUUUAGAGAGUUGUUACUGUGGAAUUACACCUUUCUGUGGAUGAAUUUAUCACAGUUCCAUGCCUAAAACACAAAAAUGAAUUUUCAUUCAUUCUUUAUGAGAGGAAUUGAAGAUUAUUAUGAUCUUGGAUAUGAUUAUUCUAGAAAUUUUGUAGCCGAUAGAAUUUUUUAUUUAGUGCUAAUAAAGAACUAGCUAAUUAAUUCGAUUUUUCCUCUGAUUCCUGGCUAGUUUAUGCAUAUAGGUCUCUUUUGAUCGGUAAAAUAACAUCCUUUUGUUGCUAUAUUAUUAUGAUUAGGCUUCAGCCUUGUUGUUUUGAUCUUGAAGAAAUGCUUUUGAUUUGAAUAUUAGAAGGUGUUUCUGAUGUUCACAUGAUUUGUGAUGAUUGUGAUAAAUGAUUGGAAUAGUUCAUUAUAGUAUAUGUAUAAUAGGAACUUAAUUCAAUGAUGGCUGAAGUGAGUUUUAGUGCAUAUAUACAACAAUUACAACUGUCACCACCACUUGAACUGCAGAAUUAGCUUAUAUUGAGCUUUCUUGAUGACCUUUUUUCAUAGAACAAUGCUAUAUCAUUUUUAGUUUGCGGUAGUAUUGUUUUAUAUUUUUAUCAUUAUUAAAUUCAUUGUCAAAAACUCAAAGUUCGGAAUUAUUAUGCCCGCACUGAAAAAUAUUUCUGGCUCCGCCCCUGGUGGGAUGAAUUUUUAUUAUCGUUAUUCCUUCGAUUAAAUUAACCCAGGGACUUAAAAGAAUGUUAAAGGCAAACUUUAUAUAAGAAUGUGUUUGGUGUUAAACAGCUUAAAUUUUCAGAUGAAAAAUAAACAUGCGAAAAAAUUUGGGCUAGGAGAAGAUAAGUUUGUUAUCUCUAGAGUCACUUUUAUCCAUUGAACAAAAGCCCUUACGCAUGAGAAAAAAUGAGUCCAGCCUAGACUUGAUACAUAAGCGAGAGUUGUCUUGAAGAUAAAGUUUAAAUAAACAAAUGUAAUAUUUCCGCUAAGUUUUUAGACAGGUGGCUGACAAGUAAUUAAGAACUUAGAAGCAGUCAUAGAUCUUUGAACUGAUCAAAAUAAUUUGUUAAAUAGCUUUGUCAGUGGGGUUUUAAGUUUGACAUUGGUGACUGCUAUUAACGUGUUAAUAAAAAUUGGGUCCCUACAAGAUGGGAGUAGAAAACGACUUCACUAGGACGUAAUAUGUCUAUAUACAGAAGGUGACAUGAAGGGAAGACAAAUUCAGCAUUAACCGUCAAUGGAGGGAUUUUUAGAGCAUCUCCAAUCUCAUCUCGAUUGCACCAUUUUAGUGCAAUAUAAUUCAUUUGUAUCAUUUUACACCAAAAUUGUUAAAUAUCUUUUUACUUUUUUUCUUCCACUUUGUACCAAUUUUUGUUAAG